rnacentral:rRNA from 1 species
GAUGAACGCUGGCGGCGUGCCUAAUACAUGCAAGUCGAGCGAACGGACGAGACGCUUGCUUUUCUGAUGUUAGCGGCGGACGGGUGAGUAACACGUGGAUAACCUACCUAUCAGACUGGGAUCACUUCGGGACACCGGCGCUAAUACCGGAUAAUCUUUUGCUCCGCAUGGUUCAAAAGUGAAAGACGGUCUUGCUGUCACUUCUCGAUGGAUCCGCGCUGCAUUAGCUAGUUGGUAAGGUACCGGCUUACCACGGCAACGAUGCAUAGCCGACCUGAGAGAGUGAUCGGCCACAUGGGAACGGAGACACGGUCCAGACGCCUACGGGAGGCAGCAGUAGGGAAUCUGCCGCAGUGGGCGAAAGCCUGACGGAGCAACGCCGCGUGAGUGAUGAAGGUCUUCGGAUCGUAAAAAUCUGUUAUUAGGGAAGAACAGAUGUGUAAGGAACUGUGCACAGCGUGACGGUACCUAAUCAGAAAGCCACGGCUAACUACGUG